CCUGUACUCCCUCCGUCCGAAAAUACUUGUCAUUGAAAUGGAUGUAUCUAGAUGUAUUUUAGUUCUAGACACAUCCAUUUUUAUGACAAGUAAUUCCGGACGGAGGGAGUACUUG
rnacentral:pre_miRNA from 1 species